AAAUGAUAUAAAAUGAUAUAAUGUUUCUUGAAGCAGGUGGAAAAUAUUUAACUUUUCAUAAAAUAUUAUGCUUAGAUAUAAAUAUCAAUCAUUUAAUUAAAUUGUUUAAACCAGUAUUUUUCAAAACUGUGGGGUAUGUCCCACUAAGGGGCACUAAUCUAUCUCAAGGGGAGCCCAAGAGGAACAAAAAUAUCAUUUUUGAAUUAAACAAACAAAAAAAUAAUAAAUUCAAAUUGUUAUUAAAAAAAUCAAUAAAAGGAUUAUAAAUACAUAUAUUCAUGUACCCAGAAACUUUCUGCUGUAG
rnacentral:lncRNA from 1 species